rnacentral:misc_RNA from 1 species
UCCCUGUUGCCAGGGCAGUCUAGCUAGAAAAAUUCAACUAACUAUAAGGGUUGCGCUCGUUAAUGGACUUAACCAAACAUCUCACGACACGAGCUGACGACGGCCAUGCAACACCUGUCACUUGGCUCAAUAAAGCACUCUCUGCUUUCGCAGAAAUUCCAAGGAUGUCAAACCUGGGUAAGGUUCUUCGCUUACCAUCGAAUUAAAGAACACGCUCCACCGCUUGUGCGGGUCCCCGUCAAUUCCUUUAUGUUUUAGUCUUGCGACCGUACUCCACAGGCGGGAUGCUUAACGCGUUAGCUUCGCUACUACGAGGGUCGAUACUCAUAACAGCUAGCAUCCAUCGUUUACGGCGUGGACUAC